rnacentral:rRNA from 1 species
UACGUAGGGGGCAAGCGUUGUCCGGAUUUAUUGGGCGUAAAGGGCGUGUAGGCGGCCAGACAAGUCUGUUGUGAAAACUAGAGGCUUAACCUCUAGACGUCGAUGGAAACUGUUUGGCUAGAGUCCGGAAGAGGAGAAUGGAAUUCCUGGUGUAGCGGUGAAAUGCGCAGAUAUCAGGAAGAACACCCGUGGCUAAGGCGGUUAUCUAGGACGGUACUGACGCUGAAGCGCGAAAGCGUGGGGAGCGAACAGG